ACAAAAAAGAGAGAAAAAGAAAAUUAGUUAACCUUACUGUCUUUAAUAUAUUUAUAGGAAUUUUGUUAAAGGGCCUGAUAGGUCCUUGUUAAAGGGUCAGUGUUAUUACUGAUGCAUUCAAUAAUCAUUACUUUUUAAGCAGUAAUAAGAUCAGUUCUGUAUUCUGAAAACUGUGGAAAAUCAGGAGUACCUGGGGCAAAAAUAUUAGUAAACGGGAAACAUCACCAAUACCUUCUGACAUAGAUAUACAGAAUUCUUUACAACAGAUUGUUCCAAUCAUAAUCUUUAAGAGGAUUUCAAAGCAGCAUGAAAGGCAGUAUUGUUUUUAGCAUUCCACAUAACUAUUAUAUCAAAAGAUUUAGGCUUUGAUGGUAGUUUCUGAAGUAAAAUUCAGGUUGGUAGAGAGAGACAUUUGUGCCUUUCGUGAAAGGAUUAUAUC
rnacentral:lncRNA from 1 species